rnacentral:rRNA from 1 species
CCUACGGGAGGCAGCAGUGAGGAAUAUUGGUCAAUGGGCGGAAGCCUGAACCAGCCAAGUAGCGUGCAGGAUGACGGCCCUACGGGUUGUAAACAGCUUUUAUACGGGAAUAACGCGCCUUACGUGUAGGGCUUUGCAUGUACCGUAUGAAUAAGGACCGGCUAAUUUCGUGCCAGCAGCCGAGGUAAUACGGAAGGGGCGGGCGAUAUGCGGAUUUGUUGGGUGUAAAGGGAACGUAGGCCGCAUGUCAAGCGAGCUGUGAAAUGUCCGGGCUCAACCCGGGCCUUGCAGCGCGAACUGGCGUGCUUGAGUCCGCGAGAGGCAGGCGGAAUUCGUCGUGUAGCGGUGAAAUGCUUAGAUAUGACGAAGAACCCCGAUUGCGAAGGCAGCUUGCUGCAGCGGAACUGACGCUGAUGCUCGAAAGCGCGGGUAUCGAACAGGAUUAGAUACCCUUGUAGUC